rnacentral:lncRNA from 1 species
UCUUACUACUGGGCAAUACAAGUCUCUCGUCUUUCUCCUAAAGCUCCCUCCACUCUCUCUUACAAAUGAACAACAACAACAUAUGUAUUCUCCUACAAUACUGCUGGGGAAUACAGGUCUCUCGUCUUUCUCCUGAAGCUCCCUCCACUCUCUCUUACAAAUGAACAACAACAACAUGUGUAUUCUCCUACAAUCAUCAUUACAAUAAUAACAACUUUCUGUCCAUCGUGUUAGGUUUUCGUGUAGAUAGGAGUGUGAAAAAGAAGCAUGGGUAGCAGCUCUCAGGCGAUCCGCUAU